CUUGAAGUAUAAAUAAAUACAAAAUGCAUCCAUUUCUCCACAGGAAAUAGACCAAUGGAAUCAUUCAUGAUCAGGCAGCAAGUUAAUCCAUGAUGUAAGGAAAAUGAAUUGAUUUCAUCCACAAGAACAUAAAGUGAUGGAAAAAAAAAUUGCAGCCCCCCCAGUAUUCCUUGUACA